CGCAACUCCUAUUGCUUCUUCCUCGGGGAAGGGAGGGGGCCUGCAGAGCCUAUAAUGCCCCCAACUGUACCAUACCAAGGUGUGCCCGCCUCCCACUCCCUCCUAAGCCGGGAUAGGCUACAGGAAUGCUCUGGAGGGAACAGUAAUUCAGGGCCAGACAACAGGCUGGAUGGCAAGAGGACUGCCCCUAUUCCAGACAGCCCAUCCGAUUUUCUUCCCCGGGAGCUGGCAACACUGAACCUUAGGUGCCAGUUGACUCUGACCCUCGGUGAGCUUCGUCCAUACCCUCAACCGGCCGGCAAGGAGGCCUCCCUCAGACAGGACAGAUACUGAAAGCUGCUUCCUUCCUCUUCCUGCUAGAGCAGUGGCCUUCAACCGUCCCAAGGCUGUGACCCUUUUGUUGUGGUGAGCC